CGAAAUGCGAUAAGUAAUGUGAAUUGCAGAAUUCAGUGAAUCAUCGAAUCUUUGAACGCACAUUGCGCCCAUUAGUAUUCUAGUGGGCAUGCCUGUUCGAGCGUCAUUUCAACCCUUAAGCCUAGCUUAGUGUUGGGAACUUACCUGACUGGUAAUUCCUCAAAUUCAGUAGGCAGAGUUUAGGUAUUCUCUGAGCGUAGUAACUACUAUCUCGCUUUUGAAGUUACCUAUACCCUAGCCAUAAGAGGCCCGUCGAGAGGCGGAAUCUUUUUUUCUUAGGUUGACCUCGGAUCAGGUAGGAAUACCCGCUGAACUUAAGC
rnacentral:misc_RNA from 1 species